rnacentral:lncRNA from 1 species
UGCUUCAAGGCUCUAUGUCUUUUUAUUAUUGUGAUGGUUAGAUUUUUUAUUUUCUCCUCAAACUCUUUUCUGUAUUUUAUGGAUCUGCUAUAUUAAAAGACAAUGAAAAUACAGAGAGAUUCAUGCCUUUUUCUAUAUUGAUAAUUUAGUCUAAAAGGUACAUUUUUUAUUUGAAAAAGUUUAUUGUGGUUGUUUGCAUGCCAUUUUUAUGAAUUCUUAAUGUUUUUGAUAUUUCUUGAAUAUUGUAUACAUAUGGAAGAUGCGAGAAUUUGAAAUGGCUAUUCAAAAUUUCUGCAUGUGAGUUCGCAUUUUCUUCUCGCAUUUUUAUGAUAUAAUUCACUCUUUUUGGUGUUCGAACACUGCAUCACAUGGUGGUACAAAGAGCAACCUUAUUGGUUCGAUCUUUCAAGAGUAGAAAAUAUUGAUUUCCGAUCUAGAUACAAGUUUUGGGAAUUUACUUAGUAUUUUAAUUUUAAUUUUUGAGUGUUGUUUGGAGUUAUAUUUCUCAUAAUGUUUAAGGUUUUUGUUUGUUUACUUAUUCCCCUGCAGUAGUUUUCCUUCUAAAUUAUUUCUUGAUUUUGACAUACCUUUAAAUUUUGGCUCAUGUUAGUUACUAGGGUAACAAUUCUUCUAUUGUGUGGAACAUGUUUCUCAUAAACUUAUAAGCAACGUUGAAAGUUUUUGGACUAAUUUAGGUAGGAUUUGAUAGAAAGUAAAAUUAUUGACUGAAAAUUAUUACUUUCAGAACGAAAAUAAUAGUGAAAAAUACUUCUUAUGCCUACACUUGGGACCUCACCUUCCAAUCUAAUACACUACUUCAUUAAUCAAUUGCCUGUUUUCGAGUAGUUUUUUACUAUAUCUUUGAUAUGUUUAGAGAAAAUUGAUCCAACGAUCUAGACAUGAGUGAAGAAAUUAACGUAUAAUAUUUCUUUUGCCUUUCGCAGGUUAAGAGUGAUCAAGUUAUCCUAAAAACUUCUAGGUGAAGCACUCUGUUCUGCUUGUACCGGCGAGGACAUGGGACUUCUGCUGAAAUUAUUGUUCACUACACCAUAGGCAAUGUGGAGGUCACUUUUUUGGAGAUGUACAUGUUUUGGGUCUUAACUGUAAAGUACCCUCCUCCUUUGGCACUCUGAUCUAUCUUGCACUCAUACCACUAAAGAACCAAGGUAGUUUUCUCCAUUUUUUGUGCUUGUAAUACAUAAAUGUGUCUUAUAGUUAUGGCUAUGUAUGAGUUUUUAAUAAAGAUCAAGUGUUACAGUAGAUGAACUCACUUCCUAUCUAUAUUUGCCUAUUUUUUUAUUUUUUUUAAAAAAAACUAAUAAUAAAUCAAUUGACACUAUCAUCUAGACACAAUAUUAUUGUGAUCCAUAGGUAUCAAAGUUAAUCUAAGUCAGAGACAACACUAAAUUGAGAUUCCAACUACAUCUGAAAACAUGUUGUUAAUUCAACUACCAAGUCAUGAUCCUUCUGCGCUAUGACCUUAUGAGUUGAAUGAGCACAUGCGACAUGAGAGCUGAAAAAUUAGAAAUCAUUGUUUCAAAAUUAUGAAUAGGAUGUCAUAAUGGUAUCCAAGAGAGUAACAACAUAUAAAUGAAAUAAGACUACAAGAGAGAUAUGUUGAUCCGUUUUAAUAACCGUGUUGGUAAGUCAAUAUGCCACUUUCUGAUUUUAGUAGAUAUUUGCAUCUAUUUAGAUUAGAUGUCUCAGCUUAUUAUGAUAGUUAAGAAUUGAUGAAAGACUACUAUUUCAAAUACUCUAUAUAGUGUUGUUAUGAUUGAUGAGAUAGUGCCGUUUUGUUUCUAUGAGAUUUUUUCCUUUGUUGUGUGAAUUUCAAUGUCCGUUUGGAUAUAAGAACUAAAACCUGAAAUUCGGUAAAAUAACUGUUGAAAAAAUGUUUCUAUUCUCAAACUGAAUUUUUCGUUCCAAGUCUUAAAAGAAGAGAGGAUCACUGAUAAUUCAAAUAUUUAAGAACUCUUUAAUAAGUUUUGCUCUCUUAUAAUAUAAUAAAUUCUUAUUUGUACUAGGCUUUCUUCUAUAGUCCUAUAUUACCUUGCACGCAACAAUGUUAUUAUAAUCAAAAACCUUGGAAACAUAUGUCAUAUGUUUGAGAAAGUUAAUAGGGCAAGAAAUGUAACAAGACAAAUGAAUAUCAAUUACUUUGUUAUAUUUUCUUUUGAGCAUUUUAUUUGUGUAUUGGUAAUAGUUGAAUUGAGUUUGUAUUGUUUGUUUUAAGCUAAUUUGUAUUUUCUUGCUAAAAAAUUGUAGUUGUGUUAAGCAUAUGACUUUACUGUAUUGACGUCUACUAUAUUAAAUAAAAAUCCUACCUUACUUUAGUAACUAUAUAACCAUUCCAUUUCACACGCUUACAAGUUACAGCUUUAUAGUGUCAUAUAUGUUAGUUCAUGUUUCUCAGAGACAACAUUUAUAUCCGACACUCAGCAGAUAGGAAAAUUAGGUGUGGCAUCAUAGCGGGGGCGAUCAUAUGCUACUUCAGAGUUCCAGAUUUACAU